GGACGCCAUCAUCUUCCUGCUGAACCGCAUCUACACCCACCUGGACAAGCCGGCAAGCACGCUCUCCAUUACAACGACCUGUUUCUCUGUCGAGUGCCUGGUGAAGAAAACCUGGUUAACAAAGGAAGUUGACGCCUGUUAUCUCUGAUUGGAGUUUCAGGUUUUGUCAAUCCGGAUGACAGCCUGGUUAUGUCCAACUUCCUUCAUGUGACGCAUGCUAAAAGCCUGUGCCCCCCAGCUAUGUGGAGUCCUUCA